GUGUCAGCCGCCGCGGUAAUACGGAGGAGGCAAGCGUUAUCCGGAAUUAUUGGGCGUAAAGCGUCCGUAGGUGGUUUAUCAAGUCUGCUGUCAAAGGGUGGGGCUUAACCUCAUAAAGGCAGUGGAAACUGAUAGGCUAGAGUGCGAUAGGGGCAAGGGGAAUUCCCAGUGUAGCGGUGAAAUGCGUAGAUAUUGGGAAGAACACCGGUGGCGAAAGCGCCUUGCUGGGUCUGCACUGACACUGAGGGACGAAAGCUAGGGGAGCGAAAGGGAUUAGAAACCCGGGUAGUCC
rnacentral:rRNA from 1 species